GUUUACAUCAUCUUUUAAUGAUGGGAGGCGGGUUGAAAAUUUACCUCCUGGAGCCCAAGUAUCAUAUACACCACCAAAGUACAUAGCUUUCCAAACAAGAAGCCAAGCUCCAAAACCUAAAAUAAUUAGGUGGAAACCUAAAAUGCUUGUCAUUUUGUUCUUGUCUUUCCA
rnacentral:antisense_RNA from 14 species